UCAAGUGGCCAAACCCCUUUGUCAAACACCUGCUCUCGUCAGAUCUCAGAAGCUAAGCGGAGUUGGGCUUGGUUAGUACUUUGAUGGUACAAGUGCCACAGUGGGACGCCAAUGGCA
rnacentral:rRNA from 1 species